CCUACGGGCGGCAGCAGUCGAGAAUCAUUCACAAUGGGGGAAACCCUGAUGGUGCGACGCCGCGUGGGGGAAUGAAGGUCUUCGGAUUGUAAACCCCUGUCAUGUGGGAGCAAAUUGAAAAGAUAGUACCACAAGAGGACGAGACGGCUAACUCUGUGCCAGCAGCCGCGGUAAUCCAGAGGUCUCAAGCGUUGGUCGGAAUCACUGGGCGUAAAGCGUGCGUAGGCUGUUUCGUAAGUCGUGUGUGAAAGGCGCGGGCUCAACCCGCGGACGGCACAUGAUACUGCGAGACUAGAGUGAUGGAGGGGGAACCGGAAUUCUCGGUGUAGCAGUGAAAUGCGUAGAUAUCGAGAGGAACACUCGUGGCGAAGGCGGGUUCCUGGACAUUAACUGACGCUGAGGCACGAAGGCCAGGGGAGCGAAAGGGAUUAGAUACCCUAGUAGUC
rnacentral:rRNA from 1 species